rnacentral:rRNA from 1 species
GAUGAACGCUGGCGGCGUGCCUAAUACAUGCAAGUCGAGCGAAUGGAUUAAGAGCUUGCUCUUAUGAAGUUAGCGGCGGACGGGUGAGUAACACGUGGGUAACCUGCCCAUAAGACUGGGAUAACUCCGGGAAACCGGGGCUAAUACCGGAUAACAUUUUGAACCGCAUGGUUCGAAAUUGAAAGGCGGCUUGGGCUGUCACUUAUGGAUGGACCCGCGUCGCAUUAGCUAGUUGGUGAGGUAACGGCUCACCAAGGCAACGAUGCGUAGCCGCCCUGGGAGGGUGAUCGGCCACACUGGGACUGAGGCACGGCCCAGACUCCUACGGGAGGCAGCAGUAGGGAAUCUUCCGCAAUGGACGAAAGUCUGACGGAGCAACGCCGCGUGAGUGAUGAAGGCUUUCGGGUCGUAAAACUCUGUUGUUAGGGAAGAACAAGUGCUAGUUGAAUAAGCUGGCACCUUGACGGUACCUAACCAGAAAGCCACGGCUAACUACGUGCCAGCCGCCGCGGUAA